UGUGCCUUUGGGAACUGUAAGACAGGUGCUGCAUGGCUGUCGUCAGCUCGUGUUGUGAAAUGUUGGGUUAAGUCCCGCAACGAGCGCAACCCUUAUCCUUGUUUGCCAGCACUUCGGGUGGGAACUCCAGGGAGACUGCCGGUGAUAAACCGGAGGAAGGUGGGGACGACGUCAAGUCAUCAUGGCCCUUACGAGUAGGGCUACACACGUGCUACAAUGGCGCAUACAGAGGGCGGCCAACUUGCGAAAGUGAGCGAAUCCCAAAAAGUGCGUCGUAGUCCGGAUUGGAGUCUGCAACUCGACUCCAUGAAGUCGGAAUCGCUAGUAAUCGUGGAUCAGAAUGCCACGGUGAAUACGUUCCCGGGCCUUGUACACACCGCCCGUCACACCAUGGGAGUGGGCUGCAAAAGAAGUGGGUAGUUUAACCUUCGGGAGGACGCUCACCACUUUGUGGUUCAUGACUGGGGUGAAGUCGUAACAAGGUAACCG
rnacentral:rRNA from 1 species